rnacentral:rRNA from 1 species
AUUGAACGCUGGCGGUAUGCCUUACACAUGCAAGUCGAACGGUAGAGGGGCAACCCUUGAGAGUGGCGAACGGGUGAGUAAUACAUCGGAACGUGCCCAGUCGUGGGGGAUAACGUAGCGAAAGCUACGCUAAUACCGCAUACGACCUGAGGGUGAAAGCGGGGGAUCGCAAGACCUCGCGCGAUUGGAGCGGCCGAUGGCAGAUUAGGUAGUUGGUGGGGUAAAGGCCUACCAAGCCUGCGAUCUGUAGCUGGUCUGAGAGGACGACCAGCCACACUGGGACUGAGACACGGCCCAGACUCCUACGGGAGGCAGCAGUGGGGAAUUUUGGACAAUGGGCGAAAGCCUGAUCCAGCCAUACCGCGUGCGGGAAGAAGGCCUCGGUUGUAACGCUUUGUCUAGGGAAGAAAGUACUUCUUGGGCGUAAUACCUACGGAGGAGUGACGAUACCU